rnacentral:misc_RNA from 1 species
GAUGCUAAGAAGAUGGAGAAGCUGAAUAACAUUUUCUUCACUUUGAUGUCUCGGGGCCCUGAUGCGGAUGUGUCGGAAGUUGCAGGGAAAGAACAGACAGAAGCACAACCAGGGAAGAAAGGAAGGGGAAGGAAACAAUAGCUUUGUUGGCUGCUAGACAAGGAGAAUUGGGACAUAUCUUACGUGACUUGUGGAUGAAUUAAAUGAAUUUUU